rnacentral:lncRNA from 1 species
GAUUGAGGUAGUGGCAGUGCUAGCGGCAGUGGUGAUGUGGUGGUGGUGGUGUGUGUACUAGUGCAGUGGUGAUGUGGUGAUGGUGUGUGUACUAGUGCAGUGGUGAUGUGAUGGUGUGUGUACUAGUGCAGUGGUGAUGUGGUGAUGGUGUGUGUGUGCUAGUGCAGUGGUGAUGUGGUGGUGAUGGUGUGUGUACUAGUGCAGUGGUGAUGUGAUGGUGUGUGUACUAGUGCAGUGGUGAUGUGGUGAUGGUGUGUGUGUGCUAGUGCAGUGGUGAUGUGGUGGUGAUGGUGUGUGUGCUAGUGCAGUGGUGAUGUGGUGGUGGUGUGUGUACUGGUGCAGUGGUGAUGUGGUGGUGGUGGUGUGUGUACUAGUGCAGUGGUGAUGUGGUGAUGGUGGUGUGUGUGCUAGUGCAGUGGUGAUGUGGUGAUGGUGUGUGUAUUAGUGCAGUGGUGAUGUGGUGAUGGUGUGUGUGUGCUAGUGCAGUGGUGAUGUGGUGGUGAUGGUGUGUGUACUAGUGCAGUGGUGAUGUGAUGGUGUGUGUACUAGUGCAGUGGUGAUGUGGUGAUGGUGUGUGUGUGCUAGUGCAGUGGUGAUGUGGUGAUGGUGUGUGUGCUAGUGCAGUGGUGAUGUGGUGGUGGUGUGUGUACUGGUGCAGUGGUGAUGUGGUGGUGGUGGUGUGUGUACUAGUGCAGUGGUGAUGUGGUGAUGGUGGUGUGUGUGCUAGUGCAGUGGUGAUGUGGUGAUGGUGUGUGUAUUAGUGCAGUGGUGAUGUGGUGAUGGUGGUGUGUGUACUAGUGCAGUGGUGAUGUGGUGGUGAUGGUGUGUGUACUAGUGCAGUGGUGAUGUGGUGGUGAUGGUGUGUGUACUGGUGCAGUGGUGAUGUGGUGGUGAUGGUGUGUGUACUAGUGCAGUGGUGAUGUGGUGAUGGUGUGUGUACUAGUGCAGUGGUGAUGUGGUGAUGGUGGUGUGUGUGCUAGUGCAGUGGUGAUGUGGUGAUGGUGUGUGUAUUAGUGCAGUGGUGAUGUGGUGGUGGUGGUGUGUGUGCUAGUGCAGUGGUGAUGUGAUGAUGGUGGUGUGUGUGCUAGUGCAGUGGUGAUGUGGUGGUGGUGAUGUGUGUGCUUGUGGUAUUGGUGAUGUGGUGGUGGUGGU